rnacentral:misc_RNA from 1 species
UACGAAGGUGGCAAGCGUUGUGCGGAAUUAUUGGGCGUAAAGCGCGCGCAGGCGGCAUCGUAAGUCCGAUGUGAAAGCGCGCGGCUCAACCGGGGAGGGCCAUUGGAAACUGGGAGGCUUGAGUAUAGGAGAGAAGAGUGGAAUUCCACGUGUAGCGGUGAAAUGCGUAGAUAUGUGGAGGAACACCAGUGGCGAAGGCGACUCUUUGGCCUAUAACUGACGCUGAGGCGCGAAAGCGUGGGGAGCAAACAGG